AUAGGGGUAUGAGACUAAAUCUGGGGGGCAGGAACAGAUUUUAAAUGGUCCACAUAAAGCAUACUCUUUUGCAUGGAGUCUAUUAACAGAAAUCCAACACUUGAGGGAAGGAUCUUAUGGCAUUGUAAUUGGCCCGUACUUGACAUAUACGAUGGAAAUAGGUGGUGUUGAGAUCUUCUUCUCGCAGCCAGUUUAUUCUUAAUUUCUGUCUGAAGUAACAUUCCUUAUAUCAGUAGGAACAACCAUUCUGAUGGAAAUUUAUUUCUUCUUGUAACAACUCUGAAGAAGGAGCUUGAAGUGCACGUACAUGCAAAAAUUGUAAUAAAUUG
rnacentral:lncRNA from 1 species